AAAACCCUAAACACGAUUCUAACUCAUUCCCAACUGAUUUCCUACUUUUCCUUGGUGAUUUAGACAUUCAGCUUGUUCUAAUCAAAUAUAUUAUGGGUUCUCUUCCCUUGGUUGUUCUUAAUCUAUUCCAAAAGACCCGUCGACUGCUCGUGCUUCGGAGUCUACGCAGGGUUAGCUGUUUGCCAAGAUUCACGUGGAUAAGCAAGCAGUUUAUGAUUUAAAAGCUUGGUCAUCUCCAAUUUUUGAUUCUUGGAGGUUUUUAUGUUAAUAAAACUACUCUAUUGUUUUAAACUCUUAGACCGCAGUAGGACUAGUAUUUGUUUUGAUUAUCGUACUCUGAAUUGUCGGAUUGGUCCGAUUAUUUUAUUAUUACCUUUGGUAUGUAUACUCUGGAUUUAUCU